rnacentral:rRNA from 1 species
CCUACGGGCGGCAGCAGUGGGGAAUAUUGCACAAUGGGCGCAAGCCUGAUGCAGCCAUGCCGCGUGUGUGAAGAAGGCCUUCGGGUUGUAAAGCACUUUCAGCGGGGAGGAAGGCGUUAAGGUUAAUAACCUUGUCGAUUGACGUUACCCGCAGAAGAAGCACCGGCUAACUCCGUGCCAGCAGCCGCGGUAAUACGGAGGGUGCAAGCGUUAAUCGGAAUUACUGGGCGUAAAGCGCACGCAGGCGGUCUGUCAAGUCGGAUGUGGAAUCCCCGGGCUCAACCUGGGAGCUGCAUUCGAAACUGGCAGGCUAGAGUCUUGUAGAGGGGGGUAGAAUUCCAGGUGUAGCGGUGAAAUGCGUAGAGAUCUGGAGGAAUACCGGUGGCGAAGGCGGCCCCCUGGACAAAGACUGACGCUCAGGUGCGAAAGCGUGGGGAGCAAACAGGAUUAGAUACCCUUGUAGUC